GUACAGUGAAACGCAGAUCAGUCAAAAAAAUUUACCCGCAACGAGCAUUUUCCUUUCGAUAAUCUCUAAGUUAUAGCCAACUCCAUUAUAGUUAUAGCCAUUGCUUGAUUUCGCGAGGCGGUAGUUAGGUGUCUAUAUGAAUGCGCAGAGGUACCAAUACAGUGUUGAAACAAAUGCAGUCGGAGAAAGAUAAGACAAAUAGAAGCUAAUCCAGCUUCAUAUAACCUUAUCAUAGGACAACGGCGCUGCAUUAGGGUUUCUCUCGUGCCGCCGGGCACUAGUUAUACGUCUGUUUCGUUCACGCACAUGAUCAAAGUCGCAAACAAAGGAUAUGUACAUAUACAUAUAAGCUGAUGCACAAAAACGUCGGGGAUUCGUUGUGGAUGUUUUAAAGUAGUCUGAAUCGCUCCUAAUUCUUCUCGUUUGUGUGCGUUGAACGGGAGCUUCAAUGCAGCAGCUUUCGGUACGCAUUGAGGAUAUAUGAGAUCAUGAGGACUUAUAGUAUCCUCAUCGGCUAGAACUGUCUUCCUGCCUAGCUCGAAAAUAUACGCCGACCGAUGCCGAAAAUGAACGACCGAAUGAUGUGGUCCACACUUCUUCAUAUACGAGAGAAUUUCUUCAAUCUAGAGGAAUGUUUAAUACACAUUUCUCUAGCACACGUUCUUACUCAAGAGUCAUUAAAGCACUUCUAUUCUAUCAUUCGACAGAAAAACCUUAACACUAGUGGGCCUCCUUUCUUAAAAGAAACAAGAAACAUCUCUGUGUUACUUGUUUUUGCGUUCAGCCAUCUGCUUUGACGUCUCGCAGGUUAAAUACCUCGAGCGUUAUCUAUGUCCAGCAGCCUCGCGUACCUGUCUACUUUCGCUUAAACUAAUUUGUCGUGGGGGCCUAGCCCCAACAACCACAUCAUGGACGUUUUGUUCCCUUUUCGAACUGCCGGUUAUGGCCCGUAUUA